rfam:Corynebacterium pollutisoli strain VDS genome assembly, contig: Ga0138996_101
GGGCGGGGUACGUGUACGGACUCUGCCCGAGGUGAUGCUCUGGUGUACUUCCCCGACAUCAGAUGAACACAUCGGGCAGGGCCCUGUACGUGCCCCGCAGCCUG